UGGAAUCUAGAUACAUGGAUCUGUUUGAUGUUCACUCAAAUUCUUUUGUUUCCGUUUUUCUAUAUUUGCAGCCCUCCUGCUAUACAGAGGUUGUCGAGUGGUUUGUUUCAAGAGGUGAUCAUUACUAAUACCAUUCCAGUGUUGGAGCAAAACUAUUUUCCACAGCUGACAGUCCUGUCAGUAGCAAACCUCCUGGGGGAGACUAUAUGGCGUGUUCAUGAUGACUGCUCAAGUGGCUUUGAACCCUAUUCCAGCUUGGGCAUUGAUUAAUCAAUUCUCGCCUCGGUGGUGUCCUUCCCAGCUUCUAUUGUUGCUGUUUAGCUCUGGUUUUGUAAAAAGGAUUGUCUCAUAUCACAGCAGUAUCAAAAUUUUGCCUGGCUUGUUAACUUGUAUUCUGGUCGCUAAACAACUUAGCGCUUCAGUUGAUCAUUUGAGUCCUCAAAAUUGCCAUUUCCGCAUAUUUUUGUUACAAUACAAAUGUGUAUUGUCUAUGUGACAUUGAUUUGUUUAUAGUUAUACAGUUCCAACUGCCUUUGAUUUCCUUCUGUGGUUAGGACUUCAAUGUUCCA